ACUGCUUCGUGGGAUGAAAACAUGAGAUUGUAAUAUAAUAUUGGAACAAGCAAAACGUCGAAGUGGAGUCUCCAGGAUCAACACACCUAUGGUCAACGCUGUUGAGAUAAUCUGAAGAUCAAUGAUCCUAGUCAUCUUGGCCAAGGAAUUCUUCAACAUAUACAUAUCUUCUUCGUACCCUCACUCAACUCGUCACAUCGGCUACAGCUACGACGAUAGUGAAGCUGACACCGAC